UUGAUGGAAAGAAAAAAGAAGACUAUGCCUUCGCCAUAUGAAAUAUGAAUUAGUAAGUAAUAAUAGCAUGGCACUUCGAAUUCGAUAUGAUAUUUUUUUUGAUUUCUUUUUUUUUCAAAACAUUAGAUUAUGUAUCGAAAGAGUAGUAUGAGAGAAAGGGCAUUUCCAAUUUUAUCUUAGCUUUCGUGGGCCCAUCUCAGCGUCACAAACUUUUUUUCUUUUCACACCAGAGGCUAUUAACAAUAUUUAUAACAAUA
rnacentral:lncRNA from 1 species